GGGAAAAGGAGCUAAACAGGAUUCCCUUAGUAAUGGCGAACGAACAGGGAUCAGCUUGGGUUGGAAACCGGGGCUUCUGCCUUGGAUUGUGGCCUUUAGACAUACUACCAACGGCGGCGCGAGGGCUAAGCCUCUUGGAACAGAGCGUCUACGUGGGUGAGAAUCCUGUGUUUCGUUUGAUGCCCGCCGUGCACGGUACUUGCUCUCAGAGUCACGCUCCUCGGAAUUGGAGCGUAAAUUGGGUGGUAAAUUUCAUCUAAAGCUAAAUACAGGCUCGAGACCGAUAGCAAACAAGUACCAUGAGGGAAAGAUGAAAAGGACUUUGAAAAGAGAGUUAAAAGUGCUUGAAAUCGCUGAACUGGAAGCGAAUGGAACUAGUGCUCUGGUUGAGAUUGCUGUAAAUGGCUGCGACAUCUGGGCUCUGGAACGCAAGUCCUUUGUCUGGGCUUGAAGUAGUCGCUUGCAAUGUGUCUCAGCUUGAACAUCAACUUCUAUGCAUACGUGAGGAU
rnacentral:rRNA from 1 species